CUAGGACACAAUAUGUUUAGAGGUUAACUUAAGGCUUUAGUGCCACUAAUCCGCUCCAACCUUCUCCAAAGUACAUUAUAUCCUUUCAUGCCACAUAUAAAAAAUCAAAAGAUCCAACGUAUAUAAGAAUAUGUAUACGUAUUCUAGCUAGAUAACAAGAAUUGAUUCAUGUAAAAACUCCAAUUCUAACCUGAUUUAGCCCAAAUAAUUUCAACUUUUCUGCAUCAGACACUAUCGGUAACUAAUCAUGUAAUUGGACGUAGAUGUGACAUUUGCAUGCACCCCCAAUUUAGAUUGAAUUUGAUCUCCACACUAGUGAUCCCAAGCAGUCAAUUGCACUUUACGUUUCACAAUUAAUACAAUUUUUUUGUACAUCUUGUUCACACUAGAUUUGUUUAUAACUUCUAAACCAAUUAUUUUUUUUGACUUUUCUUUUGUGAUUUUUCAAACUCAUUUAAAUAAGGUUGAUUCUUCAUCAGGCUGCAAAUCUUGAAAACUAGCUGAUAGUAUUUCUUUGCAUGAAAUUACUGCAAGCCUCACCUUAAACCAUGAACGAGGGACAGAGAAAGAACAAAAAGAUUAGAAAUUUGCUUUUUAAUAUGAUUAUUUCUGUAAAAACUCAUUUUCUCCUUUUCUUAUUUGACUUUGGUAUUGCUAGCAAUGUUACAUUCACACUAAGCAAAUGAAAUCAAUUACAGACGAAUCUGUCUUAGAUGCGACCGCAAGUCUUACAUAGUGAGAAACUUUUACUUCCAACAAAGCUUUACAUGGAUGGAGUAAAAUUUAAAAUCCUAGAACAUGGUAGGAAAUAGGAAAUACACUAGCAGUGGAGCAUAAUGCAGUAACUACAUGUUUGAGAAAAUUUUGAACUCAUAAAUUGGAGUUCAAAAAACAAUGUACUGUCGGAAUGUAGAGAAUGAUCAGCUAUAAUUGAUAAAACAAUAACAAGUCGGCUACACCGUCUACACAUUCACCAUGAUAGCUGUUUAUGGAAGCCCAGAGCUUUCUUGAACUCAAGACUUUUAGCUCAUUAUGCUCGCAAUCUGGGACAGGUACAUUAAAAGAAAUGCAGAAGCGACCCCGGCAUAGGCACUUGUAAACUCAAGUCAUGAAAUAAAUUUUGGCUAAAGGUAAAAAAGUACUAGUUUGGUAAUCUGCAGAAUGUUACAUGUACCAAAGUACCUCCUUGUACAAUGAGUACUGCACUCACACCUAAAUUCAUUGGGUAGUGAUCCUACUGCCUAGAGUUUUGGAGGAUCAUGCUUGAAGGAGUCUCAGAAGUGGCGGUUUCCAACUUCCACCUGAUUCUCCAGAGUGAAGUUGCGAUAGGGCAGUUGGUUUCCCCCACAUCCAUAUCAGUUUAUUUUGUCCAAAUUUCUGAAUUUUGACUUAUUCAACUUAUUUUAAGUUCUACAUAGAGCCCCCUUAUGCAGAAUCAAAAUUUCAAAAGGCUUAUACCAUUAUAUGAGCAAUUUCUCCCUAAGGGUGGAAAUGCUUUUUCCACUUCCCCUCAAGGUGGUUUAGUAAUGGGCCCUAUCGCGCACUUGAGAUCCCUUGGUAGCACCCUUCUUCACCAUUGACUAUUCGAGUCCCAUCCAGUAUUAUCGAAUUGGCAGCAUUAUGAAGAAGUCAAAUUCAGUGACUCAGUCAAAACAUAAAAUUUUGCUUGAUAUAAUCACAUUAGAACAUGGUCAAAGCCAACUAAUUUGUCACGUCAUCAUUUAUGGGAAGUGGGACGGAGUGAAUGUUGGAGGGUUUGGAAACCUCUUACUUCUAAGACCACUCCUAGCAUCAUCCCUAAAACUUAAGGCACAAAGGUCCCUUAGGAAGCAUGGAUACUAGUAAACUCAUUAUGUACUCGUAUCCGAUCUAUAACCAUGUUUGGAUACUCUCCCAUACCCUUCGAUAAGUACUUAAUUAAUGUUUUUAAUUAUUUAUAUAUUUUAAUUUUUCAAUACGUAUUGUAAACGUAAUUUUUAAUUAUUUUUAAUAUGUAUUCGAAAAGUAAGGGCACGUGAAGAAGAGUGAUAUUGGUGAGUUUGACUCUAUUACUAAUUCGUAUAAUGUGGAUUCAAAUACUUGAUGAUACAUGGUUCAAAUGCAUCUUUGCUUUAAAGCAUUGCUUUGAAACUUCUCGUGCAACUAUCUUCUUCAUCUUGUGCUGAAAGAAAUUGGAGUAUGUAAUCUUUUGUGCACUCUAUGAGACAGAGUAAAAUAACUCCACAACGAGCUGAAGAAUUGUUGAAGACUCAUUUGAUACUCUUGAAAAUGUUUUGAACUGCUUGAGGUUGUUAAUCUAUCAUUAAAUGAGCCAAACUUGAAGAGUGUUAAUUUUAAGAGUUUUACUAGGAGUACAUAAUUUGGUGUACCAAAGAGUGUACACCCUUUCACAUGGUGGGGUCCAUUCAAAUAUUUUAUUCACGUGAAUCCCACACUCAUGUGAGAGGGUGUACACCCUUUGAUACACCAAAUUAUGUACCGUUAGCUUUAUCCUAAUUUUAAUGAUAAUGAAGAAGCCAAUGUUGACGAAAAUGAAGUUAGAACAAUCAAGGAUUGAGAGAAAAUGUUUUAAUAUUUUAUUUUAUUUUUAUUAGUAUGUUUCCAUAUUUUUUUUUUUU
rnacentral:lncRNA from 1 species